AUUGAACGCUGGCGGCAUGCUUUACACAUGCAAGUCGAACGGCAGCACGGGGGCGACCCUGGUGGCGAGUGGCGAACGGGUGAGUAAUAUAUCGGAACGUACCCGGAAAUGGGGGAUAACGUAGCGAAAGUUACGCUAAUACCGCAUAUGCCCUAAGGGGGAAAGCGGGGGACUCGCAAGAACCUCGCGUUUUCGGAGCGGCCGAUAUCGGAUUAGCUAGUAGGUGAGGUAAAGGCUCACCUAGGCGACGAUCCGUAGCUGGUCUGAGAGGACGACCAGCCACACUGGAACUGAGACACGGUCCAGACUCCUACGGGAGGCAGCAGUGGGGAAUUUUGGACAAUGGGCGCAAGCCUGAUCCAGCCAUGCCGCGUGAGUGAAGAAGGCCU
rnacentral:rRNA from 1 species